ensembl:lncRNA
UUUAACGAAAGCAAUAGCGGCAGUUAAUUGGCCGAUUAUUCAACACAGUUAAAUGAAAUCACUCCCAGUGAAAAUAACUUCUGGUGGUUCUAGUUUCAGUGCUUCAAACUAGAACAAUGAGCAAACCCAGGUGUUAAAUAUCCGUGCAGAUGAAAGCAGGGAGCACUCUGUGUGUGCCAAUGGGUAAAAAACCCUUACGUCAGGUCUUCAACAGGGGGUCCGCGAAGGUACUGCAGGGGGGGUCGCGAAAUUUUUGGUUGAUAGGACAAUUUUUAUUAACAAUGUUUUUCCCCCACAAAUGUAAAUGUCUUCAGAAUCAGAAUUUUAUUUAUGGUCUUUAAAUACACAUUACAUGAAUCCAACAUAUUGAAGCGAACGGAUAAAUUGAUGGAGAAGACAUUAUCUGUCAGUCCGCAACACACACAUUCAGCUUCCCUCAGCAGCUCUCAAGCUGGGCACCGGUUCACUCACAGCUCCUUUCAUGCGAAUAUGACAGCGCCGGCACCAGCCAAUCAGAUCGCGUUUAUGCUCACGUCUAAAGAGCGUGAAGCUCAAAAAUAAAAGAUGGCGGACCAAAUUCCGUAGAAUAGGGGGUCCAGCUCCACCUCGCCAUCAGUUUGGGGGACCUUGGCUUGAAAAACGUUGACCUCUGCCUUACGUAAUUAUGUUAAAUAUCCAAAUCGCUGUAAAAAUCCGAGUGCGCAAAUCCAGUUCAUGCAUGUGCGUAAGUGAAACAUUCAUGCGCAAAAGUCCUUCCUACGUUCUGGUGUUGCAAUGACACAAUUCAACUCCGACACUUUCUCUGCGACUGUUUUAAUAUAUGCGGCCACAUCCCUUUUAACACAACCUCAAAUCCAGAUCCAAACCACAUUCCUUACACCUCUGCAUGCAGAAUCCUAUAAAAGAGAACAGGAUAAUUAGCAUACAUCCCACUAAACACAAAUGACAGUGAAAAAGCAUUAAGCAUACAGACUAUUACUUACUAUCAUACAGAGGUUUCCUCCAUAGCCUUGGUGAUACUGAGCCAAACUAUAAAGGAUGAGAUACAUGUAUUAGAGAAGUGAAAUGCUAAAAUACUCCAAAUGUCACAGGGAAGUCGAUGUUUAAAAAAAAAAACGUACCCUCAGAAACAUGCGCCGCUUUAGCUAACGCAAGUUAACGUUAGCUAAAGCGGGGUUAACUGACAGGGACUGACUGACUGACUUACUAACCUUUGGUCAUGAUGCUAAACACGCUCAGCUAACUAGCUUGAAUGCUGCCCAAUCGGACUUUAGUAAAAUGGAGCAGAAUUUCCCUGGUUUAACUUUUUAACAACGUUUCACAACUUUUUAUUAUUAACAAGCGUUAUUGAACAACGUAACAAAAAUACAGUUAACGUUACUUACCAAAUAAUGGAUUUCUACCAGAGCCAGAAAAAAGUAUGAUGCAGCCAAUUUCAGUCAGCAAAAAAAUGCAGAACGACGCUAAAGGCGCAGAAUGUGGCACAUGCGCAAAGCAUAGUCAUUGAUUAAUUAAUUUAUUUGAGUUGACACAGUUUCAGAAGUGAAACUAUAAAAACCAUUUUAAGUUGCUGCUAUUGAUUAUAUAUGUUCACCUUUUUAAUAGAUGUAUUCAAAUGAAGCAAACACCAUUUAAACUUGUCACAUCUAAGAAGGGCUUGAAUCGUUUUUUUUAGUGUAGCGCGUGUAAAUAUGCAGAAUGAGUAGACCUCCAGGCAACACUCUGGAGCUCUUGUCAGACGUAGAAUCAACUGAUGAAACCGUUGACCACCGGUGCGGGAGGAGUGUCAGUCCAAACUCUAUCAGCCAACCCGUUGCCAAAUACAAAAUGUACACCUUCAAUUUGCAGCUACACCUUUUUUGCAAAGGAAGGAAGAAUCUUCAAUCCCAUCCCACGACUGAAUCACCAGUCUCAGUCGCUUUGGACAAAGGCAAAACCGAUAUAAAUCAUAGGCACCCAUCUUCACCUCACUUCCCAAAAGUGACACAAAUCCACCUCGAUUGAACGGAACACCGAGGUCACAAGAGUUUGAUGGAUGCUGUUUUGCAACACAGCAGUCAUUAACUGGGGCAGCAAAGGCAGCAGGCCUGACAUUAGUUCUUACAUCUCAGUUUAAAUAAGAAAAGAUCUUGGAUGUUGUGAUGCAUAUCGACAUGUUGUCCGCCCAUGAUGUUACCUUACUUGGAUGUGGAAUGGUCAAAACACCAUUUUUAACAAGAUUUUCAGUCGAAUGUUGCCAUUCCAAAGCCAUUUUUACACCACUACUCAGCGUGCACCGGAAGUUCUUUGCAGAAACAGGAAGUAGACCGGAAGUGCCCGGGAAACUUGUCUAUAUGAACCCGCAUAAAUACGGCCCCGAGCGCAUUAACUCAGAGACAGAAGUGAUGAGCGCGACAUUCUAAAGUUUUCAUGCCAUUCUUCCGGGAGGACGUGUUCUUUUUCGAAGUUUUCCCACCAGACAGCGGUUCGCCCUGGUCGGUUCCAAAACUUUCGGCGGGGACGUUGGCAGGCAAUGUACCUAUGUCUUGGGAGUGUAGAAAGCUGAAGAAGAACUGCUGACCUCCAUGCAGUUCUUCGCCUCUGCUCCUCGAUGUAAAAAAUCAGUUGUUUGUAAAUAGAAACAGGCCAAAAGGGUUUGCAUUAAUGCACAAAUAAGCACUACCAUGACACCAUCCAUGAUCAGUAGCCUAAGAAAACUAAAAAACUUUAAACAUAGGACGCUCACAUGACGUGAAGCAUUUUUAGUUGCACACUGUGACGUUUGACAACCUAGAACUCCGCUUGACCUAGUUCACACGCAAACACAAAGACGGAGUUUUCAGAAAUCUCCACUUUGGCCCGGAGUUUUUAGAAAUGAUCGUUUUCCAUGAUAAAACCUCUGUUUGUGUGUAAAUGAAAGACCAAAACACAUGAAAAUAUAAACGUUUUCCCGUCGUGUAAACGAGGUCUUAGAUUGACAACUCUUUAGGUUCAUGUUUUCAACCCCACGCCGUAUUAGAUCGGGUUAAUGUGUGUAAUGCAGUAACUCGCCAAGUUUAAUGUGAUAUCGUGACUCAUAGAAAUCACGUUCGAUUAUUAACCGUGAUUGUACCUUUUUUUUUUUUUUUUUUCUUAAAUAAUUUUGUGAUAUUUAAGAUUUUCGAAAGAGGCUGGUUAGCAAUUACACGUAUUAUUUUCAUUAUCUCUUCAGUUUUUGCUGCUAUCUUGCCCAAAUGUGCUUGUUUAAACAAGUAUAUUGGGAUUCAUACUACCUGUCCCCGGUAUACGCAUACGAUGAGAACGUUUUUUGUAUCCGGAUUGUAAGCUUUUGUAAACGUCAAUGUUUUUGAUGGAUUUUGACCUUGGCCAGUCUUGCGCUCUCUACCUCUCCAUAUGCAAAAAAACCUGUCUUGUUAUCCCUUUUAUCACAAACCACUGUCCUAUGAUCCGGUGCCACGGAUCCAGAUAUAUUUUCUUGUAUUCUGGUCUGCUGUCCCCCCACUCUCUGCCCUGUAUCUCCCCUAACGCCAACUCAGAAAACAUUAAAAUUGAGCAGAGAGGGGAAACUGAGAAGACUGGAGGUCCUGGUGUAAUAAUAAUAAUAAUAAAUUGGUUUUAUAUAGCGCUUUUCUAAAUGUCUCAAAGACGCUUUAACAUAGUUGAAGGGGGGACGGUGUGAGGCAGACAGGCAGGAGACAAGACACGAGGGCCGACGUAUACGGUCCGAUCUGGUGUACUAUUGCACACUUUUUUCCCAACAGAAGCGUAGGAUAAGUUGCUAAGAAUGUGCACUGCUUCAUUGUUUAGGCAAGAGGACUUUUUUUUAGGACAAAGCUUUAGUGGUGGUUGACGUCAUAUUAAAAUAUAUUACAUGCAAACAAACUCACACCUGCAUUGGUGAACGUCAUAUGCUAGUACCCAAACCUUGCUCUAAAUAUCCAACUGAAAUAUAUUUUGCAAAAAUGAGUGCUACAGAGUUUUCUCAUAAACCCUCAGGGCCAAAGCCAAAGUUCUAAAUAAAACUUACUUACUUUGUCGGUAAAGGGACAUGGUUGGUCUCAUUUGGCGUUUGAAAUCAGCUCCAUAAUUUGAUCUUUGUAAAACCUGCGUCUCUUCAGGUGUUUGGCAGGAGGAAUGGUAGCCUCAGGGCUUGGAGCUACCGUGAGGCCCCGCCGAGAUUUCCCAUCAUCCCCACAGUCUGGCAGCAGCUUUUCAAACAGCGCCCCUUCUGAAGUUGCCCUUGGUUCUACAUGUGUAGCAGUAAUUAUGAAUGAGGGGGACUAAGAUCUGUACAAAACCAUCAAACAUUUUACAGCUUGCUGCUAUUGUAAUAAAAGAUCAAUAGACACGGUAUCAGUCAUGGUUUUGAAGGAGAGGUGCUGCUGUACAUUUCCCUCGCAUACUUCUUUUCGUUCAUGUCCCCUCUCAUUUCUCUUUUUCUUCUCUCUCUCUCUCUCUCUCUCUCCCCAUACAGAGCCAGUGUAGCACAUCCGUUUUAAUUGCCGUUUGCAGGGCUCUGAUGUGAGCUGCUGAAAGACACCCAUCCUACAAAAGAACAGGAGAGAGCCCCUGAAAUACGUUCACUGCAGCUCUAACUAGUUCUAUGGCGAGGGCCAAGGCCACACUUCAAGCACAAGCAGAGAUGGAAGCCACAGAAGCGUCAGAUCAAACAGUCUUCGGUCUGACGAGGGAAGAUAAAGAGGCUGUCAGCCUCCCCUCAGAACAAAGCCGCCCCUCACCUCUCAGCUCCCUGACGGCCGGCGGUGCAGCGGUAAAUCAAAAAGCCUCCUGUUCCCAGAACUACGACCAAUGUCGGUCGGCCCAUUUUCCUCAGAUGCGAGCUGAAGGGUCACUGACGCUGCAUGACUGAGAAGAAGGACCCGACGUGACUUUUGAUUCUCUCUCGGACCACUGAUUAUGCUUUGAUUUUGGCAUUCAUUUUGGCAAAGAAUACAUCAUGUGACACUUUGAUCUCCACCAGACAUUAGAGAACCUGCUCAUGCACCAGGACUUUGUAGGCGUGAUGCUUUUCAGCUGCGACUUGUCGUCACACAGACAAAGUCUGACUGAUGGGACUUUAUCUGCAAUGCCUCUUUCAUAGUGGAGUUACAUUUGCUGCCUUGUCAGUAAGUGAUUAAUGGAUUCAAAAGAACAUGAUGGCUGGGAUAUCAAACUGUGUACUGAACAGAGAAUAUAGAUUUUCUGCUGAGC